rnacentral:rRNA from 1 species
GAUGAACGCUAGCGGCAGGCCUAACACAUGCAAGUCGAGGGGCAGCAUUUCCAGCUUGCUGGAAGAUGGCGACCGGCGCACGGGUGCGCAACGCGUAUAGAAUCUGCCCCGUACCGGGGAAUAGCCCAGAGAAAUUUGGAUUAACGCCCCAUGGUAUGUAUUAGCGGCAUCGCUUAUACAUUAAAGGCUACGGUACGGGAUGACUAUGCGUCCCAUUAGUUAGUUGGCAGGGUAACGGCCUACCAAGACGUCGAUGGGUAGGGGCCCUGAGAGGGGGAUCCCCCACACUGGUACUGAGACACGGACCAGACUCCUACGGGAGGCAGCAGUGAGGAAUAUUGGACAAUGGGCGGGAGCCUGAUCCAGCCAUGCCGCGUGCAGGAAGACGGUCCUAUGGAUUGUAAACUGCUUUUGUACGGGAAGAACAGGGGGUACGUGUACCCCUCUG